rnacentral:lncRNA from 1 species
UCGUGGAAAAGGUCGUGACGAGGAAGCUCAUCUAACUUGUGCCGCCAAAGAAGAGCCGGCUUUGAUGAUGGCCAUGUCCCAGGAGGGGACACGCACUAGAUGUGAUCAGGAGGAUGCCAUACUACUCAACAAAGAGCGGUUGUUGCCAGAGAUGUAUUGCAACGACAAGAAUGGAGAAAAUAAUGACGUUUGGUAUCUAGACAACGGUGCUAGUAACCACAUGACUGGCCAUCGUGAGAAGUUCCAAGAAUUAGAUGAAAGCUUCACUAGGAGGGUGAAGUUUGGCGAUGGAUCAACCAUUCAGAUCAUGGGAAAAGGAACAGUCAUGUUCGAGUGCAAGAACGGUGAUCAGAAGGCUCUCCAAGAGAUAACAUUCCAAAAUUAUGUAGUAACAUCAUAAGCCUCGGACAAAUGACAGAAAACGAAAACAAGGUGCAAAUGAUAGAAGAUAUCAUGAAAGUGUCUGAUAGGAGUGUGAAGCUUUUGAUGUCGGUGAAGCGAACUCAUAAUCGUUUGUACAAGAUAACUUUGAAGACACUCAAGCAAGUCUGCCUUCUGACAAGCCUAGAAGAUCCAACAUGGUUAUGGCACGUGAGACUUGGCCAUGUAAAUUUUCAUGACUUGAAGCUCAUGGGGGAGAAGAAAUUAGUAGUUGGAGUACCACUAGUGACUCAACCGAACAAGUUAUGUAAAGCGUGCGUGAUUACCAAACAAGCCAGAUUGCCCUUCCCCCGUCAAUCAACAUAUAGAGUAGAGAAGCCAUUAGAACUCCUCCAUGCUGAUAUAUGUGGACCGAUUUCACCAUGUACUCUUGCUGGAAACAAGUAUCUUCUGUUGAUCGUUGACGAUUCCACGAGAUGGAUGUAGCUGUAUAUGUUGGAGGCAAAAAGUGACGCAUUUGCAGCAUUCAAGAAAUUCAAACUAUUAAUGGAGAAUAAGACGGAGUACAAGAUCAGAACGCUCCGGACGGAUCAAGGUGGUGAGUUCUUAUCUGUAGAGUUCACUCAAUUUUGCAAAAAAUAAGGAAUCGAACGACACCUCACCGCUCCAUAUUCACCACAACAAAAUGGCAUUGUAGAGCGUCGCAACCGCACCGUAAUGGCGAUGACGAGAUCACUCCUCAAAAGCAUGAAUGUGAUAGAACUAAGUCAUGCACAGCGGAAAAAGAAUCGAAUUUCUACCCUAAUUGCCACAAUUAACAUGUAACCAUAAACUAAUCAAAUUAGGGUUUUAAGAAAUAUUACCUUUGAAGUUUUCAAAAGGUUUGAUAUCUUCUUACCAAUUCUAACCGAGACCACCAUUAGUACUCAACUGCUAUCCUCUAGACAAAGAACCGGGUUGUGGGACCCAAUUUUGGUGUAGAAAAUAAUGGAGAUAAAAUGAGAUUGGAAGGUUUUUUUUUCUUUUGUUGAGAUGAUGAAAAUGAUAAAAGAGGCAAAAGUUCUUCAACAUUUGAAAACACCUCUAUUUAUAAGCCUAAUUACAUGCAAAAAUGCAUGCAAUUCAUUUCCCAAAUCUCCACCUAAUGUUCCACUAACAAUUAGUGGAACUUAGUGGGCUAGGUGUCUAUAUCUCAUAUAGCCACAUAUCCCACUAAGAG